CCUCAUGGUGACUGUGCCUGUCAGCUGCAUGGAGCAUCGUUCAAGGAUUUUCUGAGCCUGAUGGAUUUAUAGUGAUAUUUGGCCAUGUGGGGAA
rfam:Pteropus vampyrus cont1.42654, whole genome shotgun sequence.